rnacentral:misc_RNA from 1 species
UGGUUCCGGCAUCGAUGAAGAACGCAGCGAAAUGCGAUAAGUAAUGUGAAUUGCAGAAUUCAGUGAAUCAUCGAAUCUUUGAACGCAUAUUGCGCCCUUUGGUAUUCCAUAGGGCAUGCCUGUCCGAGCGUCAUAAAAAAAUUCAAACCUCUCUGGAGUUUGGUAGUGGAAUUGGCAGUUUGCUUGUCGAGUUGCCCUUCCGAACAGCAGUGCCGGCGUUUAUACAAAUGUCUUGGAGCGUAGUAACAUUUAUAUCUCCUUCAAGUUCUCGUAUCAAACUGCCCGCUAUAGAAAAACACAUUUGUCCAAAUUUUGACCUCGGAUCAGGUAGGGAUACCCGCUGA